rnacentral:rRNA from 1 species
AGAAUCAACGCUGGCGGCGUGCCUAACACAUGCAAGUCGCACGAGAAAGUGGAGCAAUCCAUGAGUACAGUGGCGCACGGGUGAGUAACACGUGAAUAAUCUACCUCCGAGUGGGGAAUAACUGAGAGAAAUCUUAGCUAAUACCGCAUAACACUUACGAGUCAAAGCAGCAAUGCGCUUGGAGAGGAGUUCGCGGCCGAUUAGUUAGUUGGCGGGGUAAUGGCCCACCAAGACGAUGAUCGGUAUCCGGCCUGAGAGGGCGCACGGACACACUGGAACUGAAACACGGUCCAGACUCCUACGGGAGGCAGCAGUGGGGAAUUUUGCGCAAUGGGGGAAACCCUGACGCAGCAACGCCGCGUGGAGGAUGAAAUCCCUUGGGAUGUAAACUCCUUUCGAUAGGGAAGAUAAUGACGGUACCUAUAGAAGAAGCCCCGGCUAACUUCGUGCCAGCAGCCGCGGUAAUACG